ensembl:lncRNA
CAAGACUUUGAAAUCACUUCCGACUUUAUUCAGCUUUAAUAAGAUAUUGUAACUAACAAUAUUUAAUUAAAAAACAUACAUAUUUAAUUAUAUAUUUUUUUAUACUGUCAAUGUCUUGGUUGCAAAAGUGUGUACACCCGUAAUAAUGGGAUUGUAACUAAGCUCAGACAUAAUUUUUCUGGAUUUUUCAGCCUUCACAAUCCAGUAAUGCUAUGAAAUGACUACAUUUGAUGACCCUUACUGAAAAUAAACAAAGCUGCAUUUUCAGUAAGAAUUGUAGGAAAUUUGCCUUCAACUGGUCAAUCCCUUUUUAUUUUAUAAAGCUCUUUUGACAUCAGCAGUCAUCACAAAGUGCUUUUACAAAACACCCAGAAUGAAACUCCAAGGAGCAAGCAAUAACAGUGUUGAAUUGGUGGGAGACAAUUCAAAACAUUUUGGGAUUCCCUGCUGGACUAAAACUGAAUUAUCUUUGCCAAAAUAGAAAGUCUGUGUGGACGGUUAUCCCCCAUUUAUACAACCCAUAGGACCAGUGCAUUUAUGAAGUCACAAUAAAAAAAAUACUUGAUUGAGGGAUGCUACACAUCUGUUACAUGCAUGUAUUAAUUUGUAUAUAUUUUUUAAUAUCAUCAUUGUUAUUAUGUUAGUUAUUUGGUUGGCUAUUCAAAAAGUUUGCUAUACAUUUUACUGCUUUCAAUUAGAUGUUGUUAAAUUACAAAGAUUUGAUUUAGUAGUGGAUUAUAGGUCAAUUCCUAACUUGAAAAGUUUUGCUUUACUCUGUGCUGGACCUUUGUGCAAGUAAAAAGCUCAAACUCAAGGUUGUGCCAUUUGGGUUGAUAACAAUCAUUUUCCUUGUCCCUCACUUUUUAAUAGUUUACUCCUAUGGAACACCAAUUGGCUCUGUCUUUCUCAAACACAAAAUCUAUCUUUGGUAUAAUAAUAAUAACAACACAUGGGACAUAUACAGCGCUUUACAAGGACCCAAAUUCGUUUUAUAUUGUAGACAAAAACACAGCUCUAGGAUCAGUAUUGAACAAUCUCUAUUGUGGAUUAUUCUGUCUGGCAGCUCCACAUUACAGGAUUCAUUUAAAAACUGCUCCUUAAAUGUAUAGAUGUGUAAAAUUGUAAUAUUCCCAUCCAUGUAGUAAUCUAAGUCAGGUCAAAUGUAUUCUCAGGU